AUUAAAUGUUACUAUGUUUAUAUUUUUUUAACUUUAAUUGAAUUCAUUUUAAUUGUUUAAACAAUCUUUUAUUUAUUAAACAUUUAUUAUUUAUUACUUAUAUAUAUAUAUAUAUGUGUGUGUGUGUGUGUGUGUGUGUGUGUGUGUGUNGUGUGUGUGUGUGUGUGUGUGUGUGUGUGUGUGUGUGUUUGUGUGUGUUAACCAAACGCAAUUACAUAAUGACAGAAACAUGGUUUCUAUUUAGCAUAUUCAUUGCUUAGAGCUUUAUUUAGGGGUACAAUAAAAGGAAAGAAAUGUUUCAGAAUAACAUGUUAAUGAUUGUUAUAUUUGUAAAUUCAACAAUGUUAAAUACUUUGUGUAUAAAAAAAAAGUUUCUGAAAACAAUGAGAGAAACACUUUUGAUUCAAACACUGACAUUGUGAGGAGAGUGAAGGCUUUUGUAUUUGCUAGUCACUAAAGUCAUGGCACAUCUGAGCACAACGUCAUCAGGUUGCCAGCACCAGUUUUGUCAUCAAGUCUGAAAUUUUUAGAUUCAAAUGUAUUCUGUAAUUGAUCAAGCAAAAAAACAAACAAAAAAAAAACUGUCUAGAAAUUUUCAAUAAAUUUAUUUUCUAGUCUGAUCUAAAAUGAAAUCAACCCUAUAAAGUGUCCAUGUCAGCUUUGCCUCUGGAUAAAGUUUGGAAGAAUAUUUGGCAAGCACAUUGUGUAGCUCACAUUACCAGACCUUUAACAGAGGUCAUAAGCAUUCACACCUACACAAACACACAGUCAAACACAAACCAAUCAGUACAUCACAGAGGAUAAAGUCUAGUUCAAGAUUCUCAAAACAAACAAAAACAAAAAAUGCCUCUGAAAACAUCAUCUAUAUCAUUUGUUUUUCUCAUUCUGUUACUGCCUUGUCAUUGCAGCUUUGCCCUGUUUCUCUCUCCACAGUUCAUGUCUCAGGGACGGAGGUUUCUUGAUCUCUUUUUUGAGGCAGUGAUGGGCUUGCUCCGCUUGCGUGCUGAUGCAUUGUGGGAUUUGGUUGCACGCUGGACUGGGACCGGGGCGGGUUUCACAGCCGCUGUCGCCUCCUCUGAGUCUGGAGCUUCAUCUUCUGAACAGAGAGAAACAGGAAUCUCAGCCGGUCUGAUGCACAAAUCAAAUCCUUCCAUGUGCAAAGUUCAUAAGAAACCAUCUUUCAUCAGCUCCUCUCCUACUGUGUGAAGCAGUGAUCACUCACCGUUGGGCAGGUCAGGAUAAAAAUAUUUACCUGCUUCAAGGUCCGCUUUAACCAGUACCAGCGCCAAUGAGCAGAGGAUGAGAAUGUUCCUGUGACAAAAUAAACAAUCAAAUCAUUUCCUGACA
ensembl:lncRNA